UCUGGUAUUGCCAUUCAUCCUAUCAACCUUAAGAUAAUUUGUAUUUAUUUAUACAGACUUUGGAGACAGAUAUUGGAGCUAAAUAUGCUAUCAUUAGUAAUAAAAAGGAGAAUUCACUUUUUGAAAAGAACUGUUAGAAAAACAGUUUGGCAAAAAAAAAAAAAAAAAGUCUAGAUUAACAUCUUGCCCCAUACACUAAAUAAGCACAAAAGCACAAAAGAAUACAUGACUCUUGAUUGAGAUUGUAUCUUGUAUUCACCUUGCUUAAUUGAUUUACAUAUACUUUUACUAAUUUACACAAACCAUUAGAAGCUGUAUUUUAUGACAUGCAAGUGAAUCAUACAUAUUUUUUGGAAGACGAUGGUCUUGGUGGCUUUGUUUAUGUUUCACAAAGACAAUUCCUAUUAUAGCUCUUGUCUCUAAAGGAUAAAGUAAUUUGAUUUGUACAUAUUGUGGAAAGGCAAUAUUGAAUUGGAAGUUCAGAUCUUAAUAGCUGAUUCCUAGUGUUUGACCUUAAUGCAAUUAUUUCUCCUUUCAAUUUACUCAUUUAUGAAAAGAAUAGGUUGUGCUAGACUUUCUAACCUAAAAUCUUGUGUUCUAUGAAACUUUUCCAAAAAUACAACCUAACAGAAGUCCAUUGAUUGUCUACAAUGCCACCAAUAUUAUCUGUCAUGUGUAAAGGCAA